rnacentral:lncRNA from 1 species
AUGUCAUUGUAUGGGGUCUCAAAUGCCUUAUUCUAUUGAAAAUAUUUAAAUCUCUUUAAACACAUUAGGAUUUUCUAAUUUGAAGGAAAAAUGACACAGAAUUCUAUGACAAAUUCUUUAGAAAACUAUUUCCAAUCUCUUGGGGUGGGGUACUUUUCUCGGUGGCUGGAAUAAAAUCUACAUCUAAUUAUUUUCUGGGACUUUACUUUGCUUGAGGAUUUUUGCAAAAUAAUGCCAGGCCUCUAGCAAGGCAUUAAAUGUUGGUUCAAUUCAGACCUCAUAUGCCAUUGUUUUGUAGUUGUUCCAGGUACAAGUUAAAACAACUUACCAAACAAAACCAAACAAAACAAAAACCUUGGCAGUAUCUGUUUUGUUGUGAACCUCAUUCAACCUGAAAUUUAAUUAGGUUACCAUGAGGGUUUGUAAUGUGGAUUAAUAGUUUUAUUGUAUGCCUGUGAUUAGUUUCUGUUUGUUCUAAUUUCUUUUUAGCCCCUUCCUGACCUUGAGGUGAAAAAACACAGAAGAUGUAUUCCUUCAAUUUAAUGCCAGUUUGAGGUGUUUCUCCUGCAUCAUCAGAUCAAUGAAAAAACAAAAAAGUAUUGAGUUGUCUUAUAAAGAUAAAUAUGAGAAACUUGGGGAGAACCAAAAAUAAAGAUCAGAAUAAUAUACAGUCAUAAAAACAUGAGUUAUGGAGCUUCAAAAUAAGAAGCCCAGGUAUACAGACUUCUUUUCUCACAAUUCAACAUCUCCAAGAUAUGGAAAGUCGUGGCUUGGUUGUCUGGGAAGAUACUCUUGUUUCAUGACACUGCUGAAUAUCAGUUCCUUAUAUUGUCAGGAUUCAUGAUUAAAUGAUGUUACAUUCUCUUCCAAGUGGGCUAAUUUUCUACAUGAUUGUGGCUCUGGAAGCAAAGUAGUAAAAAUUGGUAUCUAUUCAGUUUUAUUGACUACUCAUAAAAUACUUAUAAUACUACUUAUAAUAACCAGCUGGAUCCUGUAUACUGCAUGGUGGGUGUUCAACUAUAUUUACCAACAACUCUAUAAACAAUAUGUAUACUUUCAUUUUAGGUUAACUAGUAAAAAUCAUUGUCUAAAAACUGCAAUCUUAUGCUCUGUGUCAAAGUUAAAAGAGGCAUGGGAAACCCGG